rnacentral:rRNA from 1 species
AUUGAACGCUGGCGGCAUGCAUAACACAUGCAAGUCGAACGGCAGCAUGAAUAGGGGUAACCCUAUUUGAUGGCGAGUGGCGGACGGGUGAGUAAUAUGUAGGAAUCUACCUAGAGGAGGGGGAUAACUUGGGGAAACCCAAGCUAAUACCACAUAAGCCCUACGGGGGAAAGCAGGGGAUCGAAAGACCUUGUGCCUUAUGAUGAGCCUACAUCGGAUUAGCUAGUUGGUGGGGUAAAGGCCUACCAAGGCGACGAUCCGUAGCUGGUCUGAGAGGAUGAUCAGCCACACUGGGACUGAGACACGGCCCAGACUCCUACGGGAGGCAGCAGUGGGGAAUAUUGGACAAUGGGCGAAAGCCUGAUCCAGCAAUGCCGCGUGUGUGAAGAAGGCCUUCGGGUUGUAAAGCACUUUCAGUAGGGAGGAAGGGGUUAAUGCUAAUACCUUGCUGUUUUGACGUUACCAACAGAAUAAGCACCGGCUAACUUCGUGCCAGCCGCCGCCGUAA